rnacentral:rRNA from 1 species
GAGUUUGAUCAUGGCUCAGGAUUAACGCUGGCGGCAUGCCUAAUACAUGCAAGUCGAACGGAGUAGCAAUACUUAGUGGCGAACGGGUGAGUAACACGUAUCUAAUCUACCAUUUAGUGGGGAAUAACUGUUGGAAACGACAGCCAAUACCGCAUAAUAUUGCUGGAUAAUUUCCAGUAAUGAAAGGAGCUUUCAAGCUCCGCUGAUUGAUGAGGAUGCGGCGCAUUAGCUAGUUGGUAGGGUAAUGGCCUACCAAGGCAAUGAUGCGUAGCCGAUCUGAGAGGAUGAACGGCCACAUUGGGACUGAGACACGGCCCAAACUUCUACGGAAGGCAGCAGUAGGGAAUUUUUCACAAUGGGCGAAAGCCUGAUGGAGCAAUGCCGCGUGACUGAUGAAGGUCUUCGGAUUGUAAAGGUCUGUUGUAAGGGAAGAAAUGGUAAAACAGGAAAUGGUUUUAUCUAUGACGGUACCUUACCAGAAAGCCACGGCUAACUAUGUGCCAGCAGCCGCGGUAAUACAUAGGUGGCAAGCGUUAUCCGGAUUUAUUGGGCGUAAAGGGUGCGUAGACGGUUUUGCAAGUCUGAGGUUAAAUUUAGGAGCUCAACUCCUAAUCGCCUUGGAAACUACAAGACUAGAGUAUAGGAGAGGUUAGUGGAAUUCCAUGUGUAGCGGUGGAAUGUGUAGAUAUAUGGAGGAACACCAGUGGCGAAA